UAGGGAAUCUUCGGCAAUGGGGGCAACCCUGACCGAGCAACGCCGCGUGAGUGAAGAAGGUUUUCGGAUCGUAAAGCUCUGUUGUAAGAGAAGAACGUGUGUGAGAGUGGAAAGUUCACACAGUGACGGUAACUUACCAGAAAGGGACGGCUAACUGCGUGCCAA
rnacentral:rRNA from 1 species